rnacentral:lncRNA from 1 species
GGUUCUCCACCAGAGUUUGGCAUCCCCCACCAAGUACAUACUGGUGAUGGAGACUUUCUCCUCUUCAGGAGCAUGCGCAGCCUUGAAGUAUUGCUCCAUGUCCCACAAGAAAUUCUCCAAAUCUUUGGCACUUCGCAUGCCAUUGAAAGGCUUUGGAGAAGGGACCUUCAUCUUGACGGGCGCAUCUCCCCGCGAAGGGUUUUGCAGCACCGUCUUGAGGAGUCUGACAUCAUAUUGCAUCUCCUCCAAUUGUUGCUGCGCCAUUGCCAAGGCUUCCUGCAGUGGAGCCAAUGUGGCCAGCGAGUGCUCCAC